rnacentral:piRNA from 1 species
UAAAUGGCUGUUGUAUCUCUUA